AUCCAGCAAUGCCGCGUGAGUGAAGAAGGCCUUCGGGUUGUAAAGCUCUUUUGUCAGGGAAGAAACACCGGCUCUAACACAGUCCGGGAAUGACGGUACCUGAAGAAUAAGCACCGGCUAACUACGUGCCAGCAGCCGCGGUAAUACGUAGGGUGCGAGCGUUAAUCGGAAUUACUGGGCGUAAAGCGUGCGCAGGCGGUUGUACAAGACAGGCGUGAAAUCCCCGGGCUUAACCUGGGAAUGGCGCCUGUGACUGUACGGCUAGAGUGUGUCAGAGGGGGGUAGAAUUCCACGUGUAGCAGUGAAAUGCGUAGAUAUGUGGAGGAAUACCAAUGGCGAAGGCAGCCCCCUGGGAUAACACUGACGCUCAUGCACGAAAGCGUGGGGAGCAAACAGGAUUAGAUACCCUGGUAGUCCACGCCCUAAACGAUGCUGACUAGUCGUUCGGGAUUUACAUCCUGAGUAACGUAGCUAACGCGUGAAGUCAGCCGCCUGGGGAGUACGGUCGCAAGAUUAAAACUCAAAGGAAUCGACGGGGACCCGCACAAGCGGUGGAUGAUGUGGAUUAAUUCGAUGCAACGCGAAAAACCUUACCUACCCUUGACAUGUCACUAACGAAGUAGAGAUACAUUAGGUGCUCGUAAGAGAAAGUGAACCC
rnacentral:rRNA from 1 species